AUGAACGCUGGCGGCGUGCCUAAUACAUGCAAGUCGAGCGAACGGACGAGAAGCUUGCUUCUCUGAUGUUAGCGGCGGACGGGUGAGUAACACGUGGAUAACCUACCUAUAAGACUGGGAUAACUUCGGGAAACCGGAGCUAAUACCGGAUAAUAUUUUGAACCGCAUGGUUCAAAAGUGAAAGACGGUCUUGCUGUCACUUAUAGAUGGAUCCGCGCUGCAUUAGCUAGUUGGUAAGGUAACGGCUUACCAAGGCAACGAUGCAUAGCCGACCUGAGAGGGGGAUCGGCCAAACUGGAACUGAGACACGGUCCAGACUCCUACGGGAGGCAGCAGUAGGGAAUCUUCCGCAAUGGGCGAAAGCCUGACGGAGCAACGCCGCGUGAGUGAUGAAGGUCUUCGGAUCGUAAAACUCUGUUAUUAGGGAAGAAAAUAUGUGUAAGUAACUGUGCACAUCUUGACGGUACCUAAUCAGAAAGCCACGGCUAACUACGUG
rnacentral:rRNA from 1 species